AUCCUGGCUCAGAAUCAACGCUGNCGGCGUCCUCACACAUGCAAGUCGACGCGACUUAGACUUUCGGUCUAAGUUGAGUGGCGAACGGGUGAGUAACACGUGGGUGACCUACCUUCGAGUGGGGGAUAACGUCCCGAAAGGGACGCUAAUACCGCAUAACAUCCUGCCUUUGAACAGGUGGAGAUCAAAGCCGGGGAUCGCAAGACCUGGCGCUUGAUGAGGGGCCCGCGCCUGAUUAGCUAGUUGGUGGGGUAAUGGCUCACCAAGGCGNCGAUCAGUAUCCGGCCUGAGAGGGCGGNCGGACACACUGGGACUGAGACACGGCCCAGACUCCUACGGGNGGCAGCAGUGGGGCCCGUUCGCAAUGGGCGCAAGCNAACCGACGCAACGCCGCGUGGAGGAUGAAGGUNAAAANGNGUGUNUGCUCCUGUUGCUNGGGACGAAAAGCUUCGACCUAAUGGGUCGA
rnacentral:rRNA from 1 species